ACCUCUUGUUUACAUCAACGAACCUAUGGUAAAACUAGUUUUAUUAUACGUCAUUUUCCUUAAAAUUGCAGUUUCCAGGAACCCAUCGACAACAGCGAGGACUAACUGUGCUACUAUGGAAUGUGCUCCAGGAUAUACGUUUAAAAAGGUCUGCUUAUUGUCCUCUUUCCAUCAACCAGCUUCAUUAUUUUACGAAUUACUCAAAUGGCAUCUCUAAUCUCCAGCCUAUAUAGUCACCUGGAACCAGCACCCACCACUAAAAGGUAAUUCUUUUUGUUUCUUUAUUUUACUUGAAGAGCCUCCUGAUUGUUCCAAUUCAUCUUUC
rnacentral:lncRNA from 13 species